UGUCGUUGAGGUUCAGGCAGAUUCUCCGGGCUAAAGGUCCAGAAGAAGAACGAGUCUUCGUUCUGCAGUUCGAUUCCGAACACCGCCGG
rnacentral:tRNA from 1 species